rnacentral:lncRNA from 1 species
AGGCCCAAAAAAGCAUACAGCACCGGAUUGAGGCUGCAGCGGACUAAGGUCAAGCCUCCGGUGACCAGCAGAGCUAAAUCCUUGCGCUUGCUGGAGGAGCAGCUCCGCUCACGGGCUGCCAGUAGAUCGGCUGUAUCCAGCAGCAGGGCGAGGCUGUAGGGCAACUGCAGCACCACGAAGGCCACCACCAAGGCCACCACGACGCGCAGUGCACGCCGCCGCUCUGGCCCCCUGGCGGCCAGAAGCGUGCGGCCCAGGAGCGCAUAACAGGCUGCCAUGACACCCAGAGGCAGCGCGAAGCCGAGGACCACCUGCGCCACGGCGCUUGCCCCUUUCACAGUCUGCGUGAGGCUUUCGGGAAAAAGGAGCCGACAGCGUCGUUGGCCUUCCCGUGGCCCGUCCCGGCUGAAAAGGAGCGCAGGUAGAGCCAGAAGCAGCGACAACAGCCACACGAAGACUGAGACCAAGUGGGCACGGCUAGGCGUGGAGGGCCGCUGCCCUGCUGGGAGAGCUCUUGUGAUGGCCACAUAGCGGUCGGCGCUGAUGCAGGCUAGGAAGAGGAAGCCUGCGUGGAAGGAGGCCGAGUAGAGGCCUGAGAUGGCACGGCAGGUGGUACUUCCUAAAUUCCAGCCCUGAAGAGCCCCUGCUGCAGCAAAAGGCAAGGUCAGGGCCAAUAAGAGGUCAGCCAGGGCCAACUGGAGCAGGUGAACGGAGGUGGGAGAUCGGGUAGUUCGGCGGGCUGCCAGAUGGGUGGCCAAGACUAAGCCAUUGCCCACCAAACCCAGCACAGCCACCAUCAGGGAGACACUGGGUUGGAAGGCCCGACUAAAAGCCUGGACAUCGGCCUUGUAACAGAGCUCCGGCAGCGGCCCAGCUGAAUAAGCCUCCUCCUCAUACCCGGAGUAAGGUCCCCAGGAGACCUGAUGGCAUCAAAAUGAGAAGAGGGACCGUGUAAGACACAUUCCUACACCUCUCCCUCUCACACACUAGUCCCUCACUUGAAGCCUCGACACCAGCAGAAGACGCAUAUACUCUUUCCAGAUUCUUGCUAGUGUACCCUGAGCAGGCAGUUAAGCUUCUCUUGCAGUCUCCCUAGCUCUGCUUCGAGCUUCCCCCGGGUGACCUUGAGCAGCCACUGACUCUUUCUGGAUGCCACUUACCAAAUGUGUUCUACCCAGUGUAGAGGUCCUUCCUAUUCACCCCAUGGGGCAAGGUUAGCAGUGAGCACGGUUGAAACCAUGAAAGAUAACAGACAACGGAAACAUCUAACUCCCCCUAGACCAAGCAUUUGUAUUAUUAAUAAAUCUCAGCUCUUCUGUU